GAAUCGUUCAAUUCGUAGAAAACACAAUGUGUGUUAGCUUGGAAAAACGAAUCAAUUAAUGUUAGUAGCACUAAGCUUUCAUAUAAAAAAACUAAAGAAGGAGAACAAUCCUUAAAAUAAAUGUCGUAUGGGAAUGUUGUAUUGCAGUAUUAUUCAUUUCAUGCUUCCCUCAAGAUCUAUGUUGAUGGAAUAACUUGAAUAGUAUUAUCUGUGAUGACCGGUAAGCUAUUGCUCGCUCGCUUUGAAGUAUAAGUACCAAAGUUGAUUAGAGUAUUACAGUACCUAAUUAAAUGCUAAUUAGCUAGGUCCUGGUGGGCGUACAACGAGAAGUACGAACACUAAUUAAUCUCGCAAGAAAAUAUAUAGGAAGACGUGGGUGACAUUAACAAAUCACCUACUUCCUUGAUUUUCAUCACAUGGACAAUGCAAACCCAAAAGACGCGCUUCAAAAAAGAAAGAAAAAAGAAACUUGUUGUAAGCUGGGGCAGGUUAAUGUACGUGUACUGUACGUGGUCGGAUGCGUGUUUUGGUCAAACACUUAAGAGCAAUUAAAAAAAUACAACCACAAACAGGUGCCGAUUAAGAAUGAUGGAAAGCAAAUGUUAAACUGAGAAGUUGCAUUAAGGAGAUAUAUCCAAACAUAGUUUGCAUCCGGACUUUGCACAAGCGCUUCACACAGCCAUAAGGUCUAGCAAGGAGGAAAAUGACAACGAGAGAGAAGUUACAACUGGGAAGAAUGAACAUUAAGAAACCUGGAAUCGCAAAUUAUGUUGUUACCCAUCGUCGCUAAGAUCCUUCUUGUCAUAAUAAUAUAC
rnacentral:lncRNA from 1 species